AUUGAACGCUGGCGGAAUGCUUUACACAUGCAAGUCGAACGGUAGAGGGGGCAACCCCUUGAGAGUGGCGAACGGGUGAGUAAUAUAUCGGAACGUGCCCAGUCGUGGGGAUAACGUAGCGAAAGUUACGCUAAUACCGCAUACGAUCUACGGAUGAAAGCGGGGGACUCGCAAGAGCCUCGCGCGAUUGGAGCGGCCGAUAUCAGAUUAGGUAGUUGGUGGGGUAAAGGCUCACCAAGCCAACGAUCUGUAGCUGGUCUGAGAGGACGACCAGCCACACUGGAACUGAGACACGGUCCAGACUCCUACGGGAGGCAGCAGUGGGGAAUUUUGGACAAUGGGCGCAAGCCUGAUCCAGCAAUGCCGCGUGCAGGAUGAA
rnacentral:rRNA from 1 species